UUACAGUUAAAAACAAAACAUUAAAAGUCCUUAUGGAAAAAUGGGUGUUUGAAUACACAGAAAAGCAGCCGUUUCUAUGAUUUGGAAUAAAAGGGCACUAAAUAAAGAAAUAAAAAGGGGAAUUACCAUGUGAUAUGCAUUUUAGACACUACAAUGAUUCAUAUUUACAAGGGAGGACACCGCUUUCACCCCACUGCCAAGGAAUUUGCUGCAGCACUAAGGAGUGCAUCAGUGGCCAACAUCAUCAGCUUGCAGGGCAGUGCUACAAACUUCAUUCCUGAUAAUGCCACUCAGUUGUUGCAGUCUACUCCUGUGAAAUGCAGUGAGCAGAGUGAAUGUGAAAAAUGAAGACCUUGGAUAAAGAGCAAAUAAUGAUUAAUGAGCAGGACAUACCGGAUGAGGACAGUUGCGAAAAGGAGGCACUUGUAAGGAACAUGAGCUUGCAACCAAGCUUCACACUGUAAAAAAAAAAAAGACACCACAG